rnacentral:misc_RNA from 1 species
AAUUCUCAACCACACAAGUUGUGUUAAACGUCUUGAGUGGCUUGGAUUUGGGACUUUUGCUGGCUUGUUGAGUCGGCUAUCCUGAAAUAUAUUAGCAAGGCUUUCAUUUGCUAGCCUAUUGGUGUGAUAUGCAUCUACGCCAUUGGAAAAUGAAGUCUAGCUUCUAACGGUCCUUUGGACAAUUUAUUUGACA